AUAGAUAGGGCAAAAGCUCGAAUUUGAUGUAAUAUUCAUUCAUGAGUUCGUCCCUUCUCAUGCUUGGGUAGUACGGUACAGUGAGGCUAAUUCUGACUCUAAUGCACAAGCAACGUGGACAAACGAUUGAGCUAGUAAACGUAAGGUAAGAUCCUGUAAGGAACAAGUUUACGGUAUUCAGCCCACACAUCUUUGUACUUCUCUGCACAUCUAGCUUCGUCCCUUCUCUCCCUCCAUAUGAGUAGAAUGAGAAGAUAUAUGGGGUAAAAGUAUGGAACCACAGAGCUUAUACCACAAGGUAAACUAAAAGACGAUGCCAGCAACAAAUCCCCGAGGUAAUUACAGUGCCGUGCAAUGCCCCAAUAGCCAGAAGCAAG
rnacentral:misc_RNA from 1 species